UGGGGAAUAUUGGACAAUGGGCGGAAGCCUGAUCCAGCAACGCCGCGUGAGGGAUGACGGCCUUCGGGUUGUAAACCUCUUUCAGUACCGACGAAGCGAAAGUGACGGUAGGUACAGAAGAAGGACCGGCCAACUACGUGCCAGCAGCCGCGGUAAUACGUAGGGUCCGAGCGUUGUCCGGAAUUAUUGGGCGUAAAGGGCUCGUAGGCGGUUUGUCGCGUCGGGAGUGAAAACAGCGGGCUUAACUCGUUGCUUGCUUUCGAUACGGGCAGACUAGAGGUAUGCAGGGGGAGAAAUGGGAAUUCCUGGUGUAGCGGUGAAAAUGCNCAGAUAUCAGGAGGAACACCGGUGGCGAAGGCGGUUCUCUGGGCAUUACCUGACGCGAGGAGCGAAAAGUGUGGGGAGCGAACAGGAUUAGAUACCCUGGUAGUCCACACCGUAAACGUUGGGGCGCUAGGUGUGGGGUCCUUUCCACGGAUU
rnacentral:rRNA from 1 species